rfam:Drosophila busckii chromosome 3L sequence.
AAAUUUUUAAUCUCUUUGAAAUUUGUCUUGGUGGGACCCUUAGCCUCCGGCUCUGAGUGUUCCGAA